AUUGAACGCUGGCGGCAGGCCUAACACAUGCAAGUCGAACGAGUGGCGGACGGGUGAGUAAUUUCUGGGAAACUUCCUGAUGGAGGGGGAUAACUACUGGAAACGGUAGCUAAUACCGCAUACCAUCGGAUUUGCCCAGAUUGGAUUAGCAAGUAGGUGUGGUAAAGGCUCACCGAGGCGACGAUCCAUAGCUGGUCUGAGAGGAUGACCCGCAACGCUGGGACUGAGACACGGUCCAGACUCCUACGGGAGGCAGCAGAGGGGAAUAUUGCACGAUGGGCGCAAGCCUGAUGCAGCCAUGCAGCGUGUAUGAAGAAGGCCUGCGGGUUGUAAAGUACUUUCAGCGGGGAGGCGUUACCCGCAGAAGAAGCACCGGCUAACUCCGUGCCAGCCGCCGCGGUAGUUC
rnacentral:rRNA from 1 species